CAUUAUUAUAAAAAGAUGUUGCCUGGUGACCUGUCAGAAACCCAUUAUACAGAGUCAGCCAAAAUAAUGUUUACACACAUCAGGAAAAGAAAAACUUGCAUAAAUAUUUCAAUACCAAAUUUAUUCAGACAUCAUGAGAUUAAUAAAAGUUAUCUUUGGCCUCUACAAUUACAAGAGGUGCUCAAAGUGGUGGCCACUGGCUUCCAGACAUUUCUGUUGUGUUGUAGACGUCACUUGUUGAUGCUCCAUUUAUGAGGGUAGUGCCAUCUGUUGGGAAAACAUUGUACAACAGGGCACAGAGUUAUCGUACUUUGAUCAAACUUAGAAAGAGGUAUCUAUAUGUAUAGAAGUACUUAUACAAAUGAAAUACUUAUAAAAGUUUUUCUUUUCCUGAUGUGUGUCUACAUUAUUUUGGCUGACUCUGACUCUGUGAACUUAAUGAGAGGGGGAGAAGAGGGUGAAUAUAGGGACCUGGUGAAAGACUUUGUGGGGUGGUGUCAGCGGAACAACCUUCAGCUGAACACCGCUAAAACAAAGGAGGUGGUGCUGGACUUUCACCGGGCCCCCUCUGCAGCCCAUCGGAAUUAAUGGAUUUGCUGUUGAGAUGGUUUCCACCUACAGGUACUUGGGGCUGCAGCUGGACAACAAACUGAGCUGGUCAGCAAACAUAGACUCUGUACAAGAAGGGGCAGAGCAGAAUGUACUUUCUUAGAAGGCUGUCGUCAUUCAGGGUCUGUUCUAAGUUAUUGCACAUGUUCUAUCAAUCUAUUGUGUCCAGUGUCCUCUUUUAUGCUGUUGUGUGCUUGGGGGGCAGCGCUAAGAAGAAGGACAUCCAGAGGCUGAACAGGCUAAUACGUAAAGCUUGCUCUGUGGUUGGACUGAGUCUGGAAUCUGUGGAGAAGGUGGUGGAGCAGAGGAUGCUCUCUAAAAUCAGGGCCAUCCUGUCCAAUCAGAGCCACCCCCUGAAUUCGGUCUUCUCCCAUCAGAGGAGCACCAUGAGCUCCAGACUCCUGUCACUGAGGUGCUCCACUGAGAGACUGAAGAACUCUUUUGUUCCGCGUACCAUCAGGCUGUAUAAUGCAGCCAUUUCAGGAAGGAGCAGGAGAGGAGUGCUGGAGAUGUCCUGAGCAUUGUUUUGCUGUGUCUUGAUAACUUGCACAUUUCGGUGUUGUAUUAUAUAUUUAUUGCAUUUUUUUUAUGUGUACUCUAUUUUUUAUCCUUGUCCUGUGUCUGUGUGGAUGUGAGAAACAGACUGCUGCAGUUUCCCUCGGGAUUAAUAAAGUACCUUGAUCUUGAUCUUGAGAACAAAACUAUCAUUUAAUUGUUGCUCUGAAAGCUUCUUUAGUGAAAACCGGCUGGUGUUCUGCUUUGAAACAAACUGCUGUUGAGGUCUGUGUUUUUAGGUUUAACCCCACAGUUUCUGAAUGAACUGAUUGUUUUUUUUUUCCUGAUCAAUGUGGACGUUAUAAUUGAUGGUAACAUUUACUGAUCAUAUAAUCAGCAUGACAAUAUAACAGUAUAACAUUCUGACCACCUGACUAAUACUGUGUUGGUCCCUUUAUGCUGCUAAAACUCCUCUGACCCAGUGGUUCAUCAGAACCUCUGGGGAUGUCCUGUGGAUUCUGUGGAUCCUGUGGGUUGCAGGGUGGGUUCUACCUAGACCAGGCUGAUCCUGGACCAUCCCACAGAUGCUCAAUCAGAUCUGGAUGUGGGGAGUGUGGAACCCAGAUGUUCAGAGGGAGAUGAUGCCACAUCUGGUCCAGCUGAUGGAAGGUCUUGAAGUUCUCUGACUGGCCUCGACUGAAGAUGGUCGUCUCACUGGAUUUAAGGUUCAGAUGCUCAGUAACAAACUCCACCAAUGAGCCAACAGGGAAGCUUUAGGUUUAUUAAAUGUUGCUAUGAAGGUAUCACUGUUUUUCUUUGUGAAUGCAAUGUGCUCCAACUGAAACUUGGAUUAGAACUUAGAAGUAAAUCCUUCCAUCUGAAAGGAUCUAGUUACAUUAAUAACCUCAUAACAUUCUAAUUUUUAUUCCAGUCUUGGUUGGAAAUAGAAUCUCUGUACUGAUUCAGGUAAAAACUGAACUUCACAGCAUGUUGGAGCAAAACAACCAGAUGAAAACUGUGAUGGUGUUGGAUUGUCAGACCGUAAUGUUGCAGCUCAAAGCAGCUUUUCUAGCUCAGUUCAUUCUGACAUUCAGCUAUGAAUCAACACAGCAGAUGGUGAUCCAUGCUGUGGAAGUCUCACAUCUCCUGAUUUAAUGGAGCUGCUUUGCACUUUUUACACUGUUCAUUCACCAACACUUUAUUUAAUAAAAGUCCCAUCUAGUUUUUAUGAGGAAUGUGAUGUUUUAAUUUCUCUGUGAAUAACUGCAGUCUAAUGCAACAGCUGGAGUUGUAACAUCUGUCCUGAUAUUGAUCAUGAAGUAUUGAUCAGAAUACUUAUGGUCAGCAGUCAUCCCUGAAGUUUUACAUUAAAAUCUUUACUUGUGUUGUGAACUUUGGUAAGAAGCAGAAACUUUAGUGUUGCCAUGGAUACAUGAGUGUUAAAUUCUGUCUAUGUUUCCAUUUUGGGAAAUUCAGUCCAGCAGAUGAGUUUGUUUUUACUGCCAGCUACCAUUCAGUCUGAGAUAUUAAGAAUAAAUAAAUGUGCAUAAUGUGGAAAUGAACAGAUUCUAUUUUUAUUUAUUCCUCCAGCUGCUGCACGUAAAGUUCCAGAAUGUGGAGGAAUUUAGUCUCACAAUCACAGACAAUAAAUAUUAUCUGAAAGUCUGGUUAUUGUUGUUUAUCAGCACAAUACAAAAAGAUUCAUGGUAGACAUAUUCCAGUUAAGAGUCUAGAAUAUCAUGAUUUAUGUAAAUUUACCUCAAUAAUAUGAAUGUUCAGGUUAAGAUUGUACAGUGAUAUUUAUUAUGUAAGUUUAGCUGAUUAAAGUUUAUGACUCCGCACUACAAUGUUAUUUAUUAUUUAAAUUUACAUCAUUAUUAUAAUAUUUAGAGUCAGAUCCUACAGUAUUGAGAUUAAGAAAUCGUUCUAGAAAUAUUCUAUAAAAUGUAAAUACACUGAAUUCAUUUGGAUAUAUUUAAGUGAGACUCUACAAUAUUAUUUAUGACACAAAUCUAUCUAAAUCAAAAUUUUAAUCAUUUUUACUCCAAACAUUUACUGGACUGAUUUAAACAUUAAAAUCACUCCUGUCUAAUCCUCUGCUGUACGUUCAAACCUGAGGCCUUAAAUAGAAACACACAAGUAUCUGAUUGAAGGAACUUCUGCAGAGUCCUGGUUCCAGAACAUGAUGAUAAAAUUAUAGACAAACUUUAACAAAAGCUGCCUGAGAGUUUAUAGGUUUUUAUGUUAGAUUUCUUCAGUAAUUUAAUGAGAGUUAUCAGCAAAAAUCAAGUGUUCAUUUGAUGAACUUCAUUUCCUAAAACAUCCAGAAUUGGAGCUCAUAUCUUUGGCAGCUGUAAAGUUUCUGCUCCUUUAAAGUUCACAACACAAUGAAUGAAUUCCUAAAACACUCUCAGUGCUGGAGAGCGUUUGUGAUGCUGAAGCAGUGACCAGUUUUUCUGUUUCUUCUCUGGAGAUGCACAAUGACGGACGUCUGCAGAGACUGAGAAAGAGUCUCACCACAUCCUGACAUGAGGAAAAAGACUUUAUUGAAGACUACAAUGAGAAAAACUAUCAGACAGCAGACGGCUGCAUUCAAGUCUGUAGCUGCUGAAUUCAUGGAUGAAUCAUCUGGCACUAGAGAAGAAGACCAUCAAACAUCCACGUCAGCUGAUGGAGGUCCAAGAGUCUCACCCAACAAACAACCUACAGAGUGAAGACCUCAAAUCUGAUUGGACAGCCUCCUAUUCAGCCACGUGUGAACAAAUGCCUCUAAGCUGAUUUGUUUUCUAAAAUAAAUCUAGUUUGAGUCCUAA